UGUCGAUUGCGCGUGUGUUAACUUUCUCUCUCCGCACAGAUAGACUACUACUGUAUUUUUACCAUUUUUCUUUCACCUCAUAUUUGGUCUCAAAUGCUGAUACUAUGUGGGAAUGCAUAAAGUGUGUUGACCAACGCGCUCCAUUGAGUGUUGUUCCAGACGAGCAGCGAGAAGGACAGUGAGUACGAGGACGAAACACGACAACAAUGGCUGGGUGCACAGACUAAGGAGGGGUGAGCAGGGCAAGUGCGGCCCAUACGUGUCCAGCAUGAGCGAGCUGGCCUGUUCCAGGUUCCACUGGCAGCGCUGCAGGAGUGCCUCGCAGUCGGACCGGGACCGCAGGCCCAGACGAAACAACUGCUCCACCUUCAUCAACAAUGACUGACAGAAUCAAAACCAAAGGCAGCAAAAAUCUCUUGAAGAAAUGACGUCAAAAGAAGCAAAUGUCAGAGCUAAGCUCUGUGAAGUGAUUGACAUAGGGAGACAAAUACACUUAAGGCUGUCCGUCAAGCGGAGAUUGUAUUGAGUGAUUCUUGCAUGAUUUUUUUCCAUUCAUCAGUUUAUCGAAACUUCGGUAAAAAUAGUGUCAAGUGUGUCCAAAUGGCAGAAAAGAGAAUGCGGCUGCAUAACUGCUGCUGAUACAAGCAUCUCAUGCCAAAAACACUCAAUUUGUCGUCCCGCCUGUCAGUCGAGUGCAGAGUGUCUCACAUCGCACCUCUCCAGUAAAGCUGGUCGCUCUGGCAACGGGGCCGGGACGGCGCUCUGUGAGCUGUCAAUCACAGAGGAGAGUCCCCGAGCCUCCCGCAAGGCCAGAGGGUCCGAGGAGGAAGAAGAACCAGGAGGAGCCACUUUGGGAGGUGAGGAGGAGGACAGGAGUGGACC